CGGUAAUUCCAGCUCCAAUAGCGUAUACUAAAGUUGUUGCAGUUAAAAAGCUCGUAGUUGGAUUUCUGCGGGGACGGAGCGGCCGGUCGCAACUUGCGACUCGAGCUAGCGCUUUCCCCGCAUCCUGCCGCGAACCGUGCUACCAUUAGUUUGGUGGCGCUGGGGAUCGGCUCGAUUACUUUGAGAAAAAUAGAGUGUUCAAAGCAGGCCACACGCCUUGAAUAAGUUAGCAUGGAAUAAUGACUAAGGACUUCGGUUCUAUUUUGUUGGUGUUCGGGACUGAAGUAAUGAUUGAUAGGGACAGUUGGGGCGGUCUGUAUUCCAAAGCGAGAGGUGAAAUUCUUAGACCUUCGGAAGACAAACAGCUGCGAAAGCGUUCCGCAAGGAUGUUCCCUUUGAUCAAGAACGAAAGUUGGGGGAUCGAAGACGAUCAGAUACCGUCGUAGUCUCAACUAUAAACUAUACCAGCUAGGGAUCGGUCAACGUUUAAUUAUUCGACUUGAUCGGCACCUUAUGAGAAAUCAAAGCAUCUGGGUUCCGGGGGGAGUAUGGUCGCAAGGCUGAAACUUAAAGGAAUUGACGGAAGGGCACCACCAGCCGUGGAGCCUGUGGCUUAAUUUGACUCAACACGGGAAAACUUACCAGGUCCAGACAUAGUAAGGAUUGACAGAUUGAUAGCUCUUUCUUGAUUCUGUGGGUGGUGGUGCAUGGCCGUUCUUAGUUGGUGGAGUGAUUUGUCUGGUUAAUUCCGUUAACGAACGAGACCCCAGCCUGCUAAAUAGCGCGGCUGAGCUUUGCUCGGUGCGAGCUUCUUAGAGGGACUAUGAUGCGCGAUAGCACAUGGAAGUUUGGGGCAAUAACAGGUCUGUGAUGCCCUUAGAUGUUCUGGGCCGCACACGGGCUACACUGGCGCCUGCAACGAGCAUAUCAGCUGGCCCGAGAGGGUCUUGGCUAAUCUUUUGAACCGGCGCCGUGCUUGGGAUUGACCUUUGCAAUUGUUGGUCAUGCAACGAGGAAUGCCUUGUAAACGCGAGUCAUCAGCUCGCAUUGAAUACGUCCCUGCCCCUUGUACACACCGCCC
rnacentral:rRNA from 1 species